GAUGAACGCUGGCGGCGUGCCUAAUACAUGCAAGUCGAGCGAACAGACGAGGAGCUUGCUCCUCUGACGUUAGCGGCGGACGGGUGAGUAACACUUGGAUAACCUACCUAUAAGACUGGGAUAACUUCGGGAAACCGGAGCUAAUACCGGAUAAUAUAUUGAACCGCAUGGUUCAAUAGUGAAAGACGGUUUUGCUGUCACUUAUAGAUGGAUCCGCGCCGCAUUAGCUAGUUGGUAAGGUAACGGCUUACCAAGGCGACGAUGCGUAGCCGACCUGAGAGGGUGAUCGGCCACACUGGAACUGAGACACGGUCCAGACUCCUACGGGAGGCAGCAGUAGGGAAUCUUCCGCAAUGGGCGAAAGCCUGACGGAGCAACGCCGCGUGAGUGAUGAAGGUCUUCGGAUCGUAAAACUCUGUUAUUAGGGAAGAACAAAUGUGUAAGUAACUAUGCACGUCUUGACGGUACCUAAUCAGAAAGCCACGGCUAACUACGUG
rnacentral:rRNA from 1 species